AAUAACUUAAUAAAAAUGAACCGACUAAUAUUAAUAUAAAAUAUUUUCUGUAUAUUAAAAAUAUCUUUUCAAUAUUAAAAGCAUCUUCUCUACAGUGUUCAAACUGAAAUGUCUUCCCAAUUUAAAAAAUAGGAUCUGGCUAUUCCUUUGUUGAACAGUGAAAUGAAUUUUUAUUCACAACAAGACUCUGGAGCUAUUUCUGUGAAGGAUCUGCUCAGAGAGCACACAGGAAGAGUUCAGAGAGCAGGGGCUGGAAAGAAAGAAAGACACUCCCUUCCUAUUAGUGUGGGGAGGAGGUGUGAGAAUUCCUGCUUCUGUCCCAGGGGCCUUCCUCCCUCUGUUUACGUUACAGACUCUUGUGUCAGCAAGAAACUGAGAUGCCCCUGCCCCUUUCCAAGGAACUAGUGUAAUGUUAUAUACACAGUAGGUCUUAAACACUUAAUAACAUUAAUGGGAUUAGAAAGCUGGCUCCAGUGGCUUGUAAAAUGCAGAAUUUAGCAGUUCCUAUGCACAAAACAAUAUUCAAAGGGGGAAGACAUGUACUCUCGUAAAGGUGGACUCAACUUCUUUGGAGGAACUCUAACACAGUUAGACAAUUGAGCCAACAGCACCCCAAAUAUAAGCUAAGACAAUAAGUUUAUUUAUUAAAUGACUACUACUUAUGCCUUAGACUGGACACAUGUAUUCUAAGACCUCUGAAAUCACGGUGCUAACUAUAACUGAAAACUUUAAGAAUCAAUGCUGUUUUACUGAUGAUGGCUGACCUGGUAGGAGUUUAUUAUCUCUGUAUUUUUUCUAAGAACCUAGCUGGUUAACAUUUUUUGCAGUCAUGUCCUAUUUUAGCUUUGGUCAUGACUGAGUAUUUGAAAGACUCAGACCCAUAAAAUACCCAGCUACUUACUUAACCCUGUAGUAAGAUCUGAGGCACAGCUUAUGAAAUUUGAGCACAUUUGUAAAAGGAAUCCUAAGGUUCCUAAGAAACAGUCCCAAACGAAAAGUUUUUUUACGCCAGCCCAAACCCAGACUGUAAUCCAUUUUGGUUAAUUUUUCAUGUACACUUAAUAAUGAAAUGGCAUUCCAAUCAAAGCAGCAGAUAUUUGAAAUGCCAAAAAAACAUGAUGGCAGCCAGACUGCAGACGCCCUAGUAAAUGUUUUCCUUCAAGAUAAAUAAGGCCGUGGCAGCUGCUACCUCCACUUAACACCCCUGGUCCAUAUGAAAGUUGCUGAAUGGAGCAGACAGGCUUGUCAGGGGACCAAGAUUGUUUUUGUUUUUAAGGAAAAGAGCUUUUGCUCGAAAGAAAACCAUCUUACUAACCCAUCUUCUAAUUUAUGUACAUGUAUAAACAUACACACAUACAUCUAUCUGAAAACUGUCGACUUCCUACCUCUUAUUCUUGAUUUCCAAAUUUCUAAAAACCUUUCUCCAUUAUGCCAACCUUGAAAGCUAGGAGAAUACUUAGAAGAUACACACAAUUACUUUUUAAAUUUCAUGAGGAAUCCUAGACCAAAUGAGAUUUUAAUUGUACAAAUGUCUUUGUCCUUGAUGUGUGAACUGUGAAAUCAUUUGAGAUUUCACUAAUGCAACUGAAGUUAUCCAAACUCUAGGAAAUCCACCCCCCCCCCAUCUUUGUGUCGUUUCAGGUUCAAGCUCAGUGUGGAGUAGUGCCACUUGGUAAAAGCCUACAACUGUCAUCACAGUAAUGUUUUUGGGGGGUAUACUAAAAUUCAGAUCAUUGUAUAGUAACAAGUAUGGGUUCAGACCAAAGCAAAGCACCUAACUGCUUUCUAAUAAAAAAGUGUUGGAUUAUAAAAGAAAAGGCAGGAAAUGGUGCUAUGGCUCAAAGUGGUAGAGUGCUAGCCUUGAGCAAAAGAGCUCAAGGGCAACACCCAGGCCCUGAGUUCGAGCCCCACAAAAGAAGAAUGAAGAAAGAAGAAAAGAGAGAACAACAGAGCACAGGGGUCCUCACCCCAAGGUGACAAAGUGUUCAUGAGCUGCGAGGAAGGUUGCCUGGUACUGUAACCCAGGGACCACCCUUAGUGGGCUGUUGGUACAGUUAGUACUGGUGACAAUCACAUCAUCACCCCAUCCCCAAGCACAGCACAUACACUCGUGCCGUGGUCACUCAAGACACUCAGAAGCGAUCACCUUAUCUCAGUUACUUGGAAUGUAGAGGCCCAGGUGGUGAUGGCACAUGCCUCAUGAGUGUGUGUGCACUCUGUGUGUGGACGCCCACUCGCCACUUAGCCUAUACUCGUUAAACAACGGCUCACAGCUUUCUUUGAUCAUCUUGACUUGAAAAUUGAAAUCAGGGCACUGAUAUUAGAGACUAUGCACUCUAACACAACUUCAUUUGACAAAUGACAAGAGAGGAAGACAAAGGAUCUUUGACUGUCAAUGGACCAGAUACAAAUUCAAUCCUGAAUCUUCUCAUCUGUGCAGCCACAACUCUUUAACAGGGCAGAAUAAUUACUUUGUUCUGGCACUUUCCAAAGGCAUACACACCCCAUUCGACUAUCAAUCAGAUGUCACCUGGAUACUCUUAUGCAGAGAUUUUUUUUUUCUAAUAGCAUUUCAUUAAACUUUAAUGGUCAUUUACUGUGUUAGAUACCUUUUAUAUUUUCUAUGCAAAUGAUAUUUUAGACCAUUUCUAUCUAUGUGAUCUGUCUGUCUAUCUAGUGCCAGUUCUAGGGCUUGAACUCAGGGUCCAGAUGCUGUAUAAGAUAUUUUGCUCAAGACUAGCACUCUACCCCAGCUCCACUUCUG